UCACAGCAUCACAAGUGGUUGAGGAAACAGGCACUUCUGGAACUUUCUUUUCUCUGAUGAUAAUUGGCUUCACCGCAAUUGUAGCUGUAAUUUUCCUCACUGGCAUCAUCAUGAAGACAGUUAAAUUCAGGGGAACACAGCAAGGAGAGGAGCAUGAACUUGACACUGUGGGAUUUUACUCAACUCUACAAAUGCCACAUCCUCACCAUUGACCCUGACAGCAUGGACCAAUGCCCUGGACUCACCUGCCUUGGACAUACAUCUCCAGCCAUACAUUACAUUAAGAUAAUCAAAGCAAUUCAUGGCUACUCAUGCUCUUAAAACAUUUGGUCCUCGACAGCACCCUCUCUUGGAUCAGCGUCAGUCCAACACCCAGGGAGAACCAUCUGGCCUGGGGCUGUAAAAGGGGGCCCUUAAACACAGCCUGGAUUUCACCCCUUGACAAGGAACACAUGUUCUCAAUCAGCCCUCUUCUGGGGAGGAUAAAUGGCCC
ensembl:lncRNA